GAAGAAACAUGAACUUAACCACACAUGGAGUCACAACUCAUGAAAUGAGCUCUUCCACUAAUAAAGUCACUGCUCAUGUCAAUUCCACCACAGUCGAAUCACA